UUUUUGAGAGAGCAAAACAAAUAUGAUACCAUUUAUAUAGAAACACGUCCAGCAAAGUCAGAUGCAAAUUCAAAAUAUUGUGUUGGCAACCCUACGGUUAGCCUAAUGCACACAACACAUCUAGCAUAUGUGACUAGUUCUAAUCUAAGCAAGAAUCUAGUAGAAAGAAAAAUACAACAUUAUAGAUGUCUUAUAAAAUUAUUUGAUGAUUUUACCAACAAAGUUAGAAAUCAUUACACCCUCAAUGAUCACCAAACUAACUUGGAGGUGUUAUGCCUAGUACCCAUAAUUUGUGCCAUACACUGAGCCAUAGCUUCCGGUAUGCCCAGCAUGUCCUGGAUUGGUUGGGGGGGAUGCAUACACAGAACCAUGAGCUGCAUAAGGAUUAUAUCCUUGGUCUGUGGACCCACCUGUUUGCGUUUGCGUUGGUGCUGCAGCUUCCGCCAUGAAAUUCUGCAACACAAAUCAUCAGAAUGCAUGUAACACAACCAACUGCAUGUACGUGAGAAUAUUGAAAAAAAAUCUGCAAUCCAGGCACCGGGGCCCCUGUAUUUUAUUCACAGAUAGAUAUAGUUGAGAAUAACAGCGGGCCAUAUCACUUUCUAUGUACUAAUGGCUUUGAUUGUCAGACUUCAAACAAGCACAUUAAAAUAUUAAAUAAUUGCUAAACUCUAUGUUCACACAGCCAAACAUUUGUGCGUUGGUUGAUUGCUCAAUGGUGACAGGAGAUCACAAAUCAAAAACACAAAAACAACCUCCUUACAAUUCAAGGGUAAGUGAUGCUGUUCGCGGGUUAUUUUGGGGUGUACUAUACAAGUAAGGCUACGAAUAUCUAACCUCUCCACCCAAAAUGUGGAAAACCUUCUGCAAUAGGAUACCCUUUUUCAAAUGUGCUUGCACAUUAUGCUAGAAAUUCAAACAUCAGUACACAUCACAAUGUUUCAUCUGCAGCUUCACACAACAAGUACAAUCAGUGAGCUUUGAAAUCUCUGCAUCUGCUCAAAUCAUCUAGACCGAGUCACAAUUACACAUCCAUCAUCCAUGUGCCCAAGAACAAAAAUAAAUAGUCUAAUGGUCCCUUUUUUUGUGCCCAAUGCAACUUCCUAGUCAAGAGUAAUGAAAAACUCCCUUAAUCAAUUUGAGACAUCUCAACUCAGUAAAAUUAGUUGGUAUAUCUUCAUUUAUGCUCUUAAGUCUAAAAAGUUAUUUUCUUUCUUCAUUGGAAGUAUGCAUAUAACUUGUAUGGACUUCAUAUGUUUCCAACAUGCCUAGCACACCCCACAGCCAUCCAACCUAUAAUUUAAAGGUCCUACUGCACAACUGCUGCAGCUAUCCAACCUAUUGUAGCAUCUGUGGUUGAUAGUUAGAAUCCUAGUAUUAACCUAAUGUAACUUUUGAACUUGUAGGAAAACACAGAAUAGUGAAAUUGAGGUUUAUCACAAGCAUAUGCACAUGCCAGUUAUCAAACACUUCUUUACAAAAUAGCAGUAUGAGAAACAAGAUAUGCCACAGGGACAUCUAGUAAAGAGAAUGGUAAGCUAUAUUGCCUGUAUCAACUGCUGAGCUGUUUGGACUUGGGAUGCAGUUCCACUGAUUUCAACUGUCAUUUCCCCAGGAACACCUCUAGUUUCUUGUAUGGUAACAGUUGCUCCACUAGCACGCCGAAUGUAGCUUAUACUUGCACCAGCUGUCCCAAUAACAGCAUCAGCAUAAGAUAAUGGAAUUUGCAUUUGCUGUGUAAUCUGUGUAAUCAUUGACGGAGCUGCUUGGGAAUUUGAUGAUGCAUGGACACCUAUGGGAGCUUCUCUUCCAUAGGCAGAUAUACCCUGAUGUGGUUGUUUUUCCAUUGUAGGAAGCAAGUCAGCUGGAGGAUAGUAAUUCUCAAUUUGCCGUGGAGGCGGCAUAUAUUGAGGAUUAUGUCCAAAACCAGGACCUCCACCCGCAUUUGGAGGCAGACCUUGAGGUGGACCCCAUGAUUGAUGAGGUGGCAUGUGCUCUAUCUGAGGAUUUGACAUUUGCAUAUGCAUUUCAAAUAAUGGAAUUAUACUACGAUCAACUAGAAACUUCCUUAAAUGAGAAGCAAUUAACUCCACAGCUUUGUGCACACUAGCUGGAUCCCCCAAUACUUCAACAACUCUAUCAUCUUGGAGAGCAAAAACUGGAAGGUCUUCUGCAGCAAUUUCCCAACAAAUAAAGACUAAAAUAUAAAGAUACGUAAUUCAGCAACUUGCACUAAAAUGGGACAGGCAAAGGCAACACAGCAGACUAAGUUGGCGAGUUAAAGGACAAUCAAAGAAAUAAUCAGAAUGACAGGCACUGAUAAAGAUAAUAGUGGUGGUCAAGUUGGCAGUGACACAUAGCACUGACCAUGGCACAGUUUUGAUGCCCUUAACUCCUUCCCUAACACUUGGCUAUAAAAAGUUUCUAGCAAGAUUAGAAUAAAAAAUUUGCAUAUUUUAGAUAUUUCCAUUUCUCUCAUACUGACCAAUAAUCAGAUCCUGAAAUUUGAAACCUAUCAGGGGUAAAACUAACGUUAACUUGGUGCCAGUUGUUGGCAACAAUUGUCACACAUUAAUGACAGUUGUAGGAAAAUAAUGGAUGUAGGGAUGGAGGAAGAAGCAACAGACUAACUUACUGGGUCGCAGAUUAAAGGCAGACGUAGCAUUAUUGGGGUUGCAAACUAAAGGUCAGGCAACCAAAGUAAGGAUCAGAAUGAUAGACAACGACAAUGAAAACUUAUACUAAUAGUGACGAUGGAGUUGGCAGUGGCAAUUAGAAUUAUAUUAUUUUUAAGUUGUUCUAACUAAGAAAGAUCUGAUGAAAUCAUAAGAAUCAAAGUUUUAUUGGAAAAACCUGCGCCAAGAACUCUAACUACACAACUAGAUGCUUCCUGAAUAGAUUUAACAGUUCCUCCUUGUUUUCCAAUCAAACUUCCAGCUUGUGAGGCUGGCACCAGCAACCUUGUUGAAACCUUGGUUCCUGUGCCUGAGGGAACAUGAGAAGAAUCACUGUCCAAUCCGUCGACAAUUCGUUUAUGAACCCUCAAAAGCCCAUCCAUGGCAGGAGGAAGAGAAGAAUCAGGUUCCUCCUUGGCAGAUACCAUAACAGCUCUUUCUGUUGUCCCAGGAGGACCAUCAAGUAUCUUAAUGCGAGCUCUUGUCUCCUCAACAAUUUUUUUAAUGAACUCCCCUUUGCGUCCAAUUAUACUGCCAACUUUUUGUGCAGGAACCAACAUCCGGAACACACUCUCUCCAGGCCAUCCAGGCCACUUCUUUUCACCACCUCCCGCAACUGUAUCCUCAUCAUGUCCUUGUUUUUCUUGAGCAUGAAAAUUCUCAGGCACCUGAUCUUCUGCAUGGUCUAUAUUAUGUUCUACAGCAUGAUCCACAUUCUGAUCUAUAGCAUGAUCAACAUUAUGCUCACCCAAACCAUCUGUAGCAAGAUCCAAGCCCUGAUCAACAGCAUGCUCCAAGCUCUGAUCAACAGGAUGAUUCACACCAUGAUCAACGGCAUGAUCCAGGCCGUGAUCUACACCAGGAUCCACAGCAUGAUCCAAGCCAUGAUCUACAGAAACAUCCAAUCCAGGAACUGCCGCUUGAUCCACAUUAUGCUCGACAAUGGUUUGAUCUACUUCUGCCAUGACUGUGGCUUUGGACAAAACAAACACAUACAAAAUACAAACUACCUCAAUUAUAUUAUUCUAAAAACAUGAAAUAGAAUCAUCAUAUUAAUUAAUUCAAAGCCAUGCGAUUUUUCUUUGAAAUUAAAACAGGAACAAAGAACCCUCGCACCAAGCGCAAAUGUAACCAUCACAUUUCCCAUCAAAACACCACAAAAAAACUAAUGCUCUAACCAUAAAACUCAUUCAAAGUUCAAACUUACAUCAUUUCAGUGGGAAUCGAAGAAAUUAAGUGUGUAUUGAACUAGAAGGCGUUUUAACACCAAGCUUCCUCACUUAGAAUCCUUCACAUUACUUAAGAAGCAAGAGACAAAUGUUUAAUGGAAGUCUAAAGCCUCUAUUAUCAGUAUGUAGUCACCUAAACCUCAAUCAUUCACCUGAGUAUGGCUCAGUUGGACUAUGUAAUUUUCAUGCAUAGUCUGUAACUCUAAUACAUGGACAUAUAAUAAAUAAUAAUAAGAACAUGCUUAGUCUACACCUCUUAUACAUGGCCAUAAUGAUAAAUAAUAAGAACAAGCUUUUCUUCGUUAAAGUAGAAGAAAACUGGCCAUGAGUCCUGCAACUAAUAUGGCAUCAAGAAAACACCUCAACCCAAUAACUUUUCAAUUGAAUUUGAAGCUCAGCAAAUUCAGCAAUAACUAAUAUACUAAAAACAAUGAGGAGGUCCAGGAGGAAUAAAGUGGUUCAGGGCACCAUGAAUAUCUAAUUAGUUUAUAAUAUGCCAAAUACAAUAAAUUAAAAAAAAAGAAAAUG
rnacentral:misc_RNA from 1 species